UACGAAGGGGGCUAGCGUUGUUCGGAUUACUGGGCGUAAAGCGCACGUAGGCGGAUUCUAAGUGAGAGGUGAAAGCCCGGAGCUCAACUCCGGAACUGCCUUUCAUACUGGCAAUCUAGAGUCCGGAAGAGGUGAGUGGAACUCCUAGUGUAGAGGUGGAAUUCGUAGAUAUUAGGAAGAACACCAGUGGCGAAGGCGGCUCACUGGUCCGGUACUGACGCUGAGGUGCGAAAGCGUGGGGGAGCAAACAGG
rnacentral:rRNA from 1 species